AAAGGAAUUGACGGGACCCUGCACAAGCGGUGGAUCAUGUUGUUUAAUUCGAGGAUACGCGAAGAACCUUACCAGGCCUUGACAUCCUCUGCAAAGCUUAAGAGAUUAAGUGGAGGUUAACAGAGAGACAGGUGGUGCAUGGUUGUCGUCAGCUCGUGUCGUGAGAUGUUGGGUUAAGUCCCGUAACGAGCGCAACCCUUGCCGUUAGUUGCCAUCAUUAAGUUGGGGACUCUAGCGGGACUGCCAGUGAUAAACUGGAGGAAGGCGGGGAUGACGUCAAAUCAUCAUGCCCCUUAUGGCCUGGGCUACAAACGUGAUACAAUGGCUGGAACAAAGAGAAGCAAAGGGGCGACCUGGAGCGGACCUCAUAAAAACAGUCUCAGUUCGGAUUGGAGUCUGCAACUCGACUCCAUGAAGUCGGAAUCGCUAGUAAUCGUAGGUCAGCAUACUACGGUGAAUACGUUCUCGGGGUUUGUACACACCGCCCGU
rnacentral:rRNA from 1 species